UUCAAGAGUACGUGAAACUGCUUAGAGGUUAAACCCGAUGAACCUGAAUAUCCAUUAUGGAAAAUUCAUCAUUAAUAAUAUAAUAUUAUGAAUUUAAUAUUAUAGAAAUAGUGUGCAAUUUUUCCAUAUAAGGACAUUGUAAUCUGUUAAUGUAAUAAAUAUUUAUCAGAAGAUCCAUUACUUAAGUUUAUUUGAAUUAGUUAUUUUCGGAUUUCUAACAUAAAAUAAAUGUGAUGGAUUUGAUAAAUCAUUGACAGAUAUAAUUAUAUAAUGUGCUUAAAUUUUUCGGAAUUUUAUCAAUGGUAGAUGAAUCUAAUGAUUUGUUUAUUUAAUUGUAUGCACUAUUAUGAUUAACAAUGCGAUAGAUUCAGGAUACCUUCGGGACCCGUCUUGAAACACGGACCAAGGAGUCUAACAUAUGUGCAAGUCAUUGGGUAUUUUUAAUAAAACCCAAUGGCAUAAUUAACUUAACUGUUAUAAUAAUGGGAUUAGUUUAUAUUUUGUUAUGAAAUAUUAAUUCAAUCCCGGGGCGUUCUAUAUAGUUAUGUAUAAUAAUAUUUAUAUUAUUUAUACCUCUAACUAGAGCGUACCUUGAGCAUAUAUGCUGUGACCCGAAAG
rnacentral:rRNA from 1 species